GGGCGAUUAGCUCAGAUGGCAAGAGCAUCCGGUUUACACCCGGAAGGUCGGAGGUUCGAGUCCCCCAUCGCCCACCA
rnacentral:tRNA from 1 species